rnacentral:rRNA from 1 species
AAUGGACGGAAGUCUGAUCCAGCCAUCCCGCGUGGAGGAAUAAGGCCCUAUGGGUUGUAAACUCCUUUAGCAGGGGAAUAAAAAGGUCAUUUAUGAUCAAUUGAAGGUACCCUGAGAAUAAGCACCGGCUAACCCCGUGCCAGCAGCCGCGGUAAUACGGAGGGUGCAAGCGUUAUCCGGAUUUACUGGGUUUAAAGGGUGCGUAGGCGGACUUUUAAGUCAAAUGUGAAAGCUUGCAGCUUAACUGUAAGAUUGCGUUUGAUACUGGAAGUCUUGAAUAUGGUAGAAGUUGGCGGAAUAAAUCAUGUAGCGGUGAAAUGCUUAGAUAUGAUUUAGAACACCGAUUGCGAAGGCAGCUAGCUAUGUCAUAAUUGACGCUGAGGCACGAAAGCGUGGGGAUCAAA